UACAGAGGUCUCAAGCGUUGUUCGGAUUCAUUGGGCGUAAAGGGUGCGUAGGCGGCGCGGUAAGUCGGGUGUGAAAUCUCGGAGCUUAACUCCGAACUGCAUUCGAUACUGCCGUGCUUGAGGACUGGAGAGGAGACUGGAAUUUACGGUGUAGCGGUGAAAUGCGUAGAUAUCGUAAGGAAGACCAGUGGCGAAGGCGGGUCUCUGGACAGUUCCUGACGCUGAGGCACGAAGGUCCAGGGGAGCAAACGGG
rnacentral:rRNA from 1 species